AUUGAACGCUGGCGGCAGGCCUAACACAUGCAAGUCGAGCGGAUGACGGGAGCUUGCUCCUUGAUUCAGCGGCGGACGGGUGAGUAAUGCCUAGGAAUCUGCCUGGUAGUGGGGGACAACGUUUCGAAAGGAACGCUAAUACCGCAUACGUCCUACGGGAGAAAGCAGGGGACCUUCGGACCUUGCGCUAUCAGAUGAGCCUAGGUCGGAUUAGCUAGUAGGUGAGGUAAUGGCUCACCUAGGCGACGAUCCGUAACUGGUCUGAGAGGAUGAUCAGUCACACUGGAACUGAGACACGGUCCAGACUCCUACGGGAGGCAGCAGUGGGGAAUAUUGGACAAUGGGCGAAAGCCUGAUCCAGCCAUGCCGCGUGUGUGAAGAAGGUCUUCGGAUUGUAAAGCACUUUAAGUUGGGAGGAAGGGCAGUAAGUUAAUACCUGGCUGUUUUGACGUUACCGACAGAAUAAGCACCGGCUAACUCUGUGCCAGCAGCCGCCGUAACAC
rnacentral:rRNA from 1 species